rnacentral:rRNA from 1 species
GACAGAGGUGCCGAGCGUUAGGCGGAAUCACUGGGCUUAAAGCGUGUGUAGGCGGACGGCUAAGUGUCUUGUGAAAUCCCACAGCUUAACUGUGGAACUGCUCGACAUACUGGUCGUCUUGAGCAGCCUAGGGGCGAGCGGAACAAACGGUGGAGCGGUGAAAUGCGUAGAUAUCGUUUGGAACGCCAAUGGUGAAAACAGCUCGCUGGGGGCUCGCUGACGCUGAGACACGAAAGCCAGGGGAGCGAACGGG